CCCUUAGAUGUUCUGGGCCGCACGCGCGCUACACUGACGGAGUCAACGAGUGGUCCUGCAUCGAAAGGUGUGGGUGCUCUUUGGAAACUUCGUCGUGCUGGGGAUAGAUCUUUGCAAUUAUCGAUCUUGAACGAGGAAUUCCUAGUAAGCGUGAUUCAUCAGAUCGCGUUGAUUACGUCCCUGCCCUUUGUACACACCGCCCGUCGCUCCUACCGAUUGAAUGUUCCGGUGAGCUCUUCGGACUGCGCGGUCUGCAGUUUCUGCGUUCCGUGCGGAAAGUUGCGCAAACCUUAACAUUUAGAGGAAGGAGAAGUCGUAACA
rnacentral:rRNA from 1 species